UAGGGAAUCUUCCGCAAUGGACGAAAGUCUGACGGAGCAACGCCGCGUGAGUGAAGAAGGUCUUCGGAUCGUAAAGCUCUGUUGUUAGGGAAGAACAAGUAUCGGAGGAAAUGCCGGUACCUUGACGGUACCUGACGAGAAAGCCACGGCUAACUACGUG
rnacentral:rRNA from 1 species